UACGUAGGGUGCGAGCGUUAAUCAAAAUUACUGGGCGUAAAGCGUGCGCAGGCGGUUCGUCAAGUCUGAUGUGAAAGCCCCGGGCUCAACCUGGGAAUGGCAUGGGAAACUGGCGAGCUGGAGUGCGGCAGAGGGGGGUGGAAUUCUGCGUGUAGCAGUGAAAUGCGUAGAGAUGCGGAGGAACACCGAUGGCGAAGGCAGCCCCCUGGGCCGACACUGACGCUCAGGCACGAAAGCGUGGGGAGCAAACAGG
rnacentral:rRNA from 1 species